ensembl:misc_RNA 7SK 7SK RNA
AGAGGGUGAUCUGGCUGCCACAUCUGCCACCCCUUGAUCGCCAGGGUUGAUUGGCAGAUCUGGCUGGCUAGGCGGGAGUCCCCUUCCUCCCUCACCAAUCCAUGUGUCCCUCCCGAAGCUGAAUGCUUGGUGGAAUAGGACAACCUUCCCCAAAUAGAGGAGGACCGGUCUUCGGUCAAGGGUAUACUAGUAGCUACACUCCCCUGCUAGAACCUCCAAACAAGCUCUCAAAGUUUCUGUUCUUAGGGGCUGUGAGAUUCAUUCUUUAAAUUAGCAUGGACUCACUCAGGGCCUAGUGU